CUACGGGCGGCUGCAGUGAGGAAUAUUGCGCAAUGGGGGAAACCCUGACGCAGCGACGCCGCGUGGAUGAUGAAGGCCUUAGGGUCGUAAAAUCCUGUCAGGUGGGAAGAAGUGGAUAUAGAUUAAUACUCUAUUUCUUUGACGGUACCACCAAAGGAAGCACCGGCUAACUCCGUGCCAGCAGCCGCGGUAAUAGGGAGGGUGCAAACGUUGUUCGGAAUUACUGGGCGUAAAGCGCGCGUAGGCGGUUUGUUAAGUCAGAUGUGAAAGUCCAGGGCUCAACUAGGGAAGUGCAUUUGAAACUGGCAGACUUGAGUACGGGAGGGGGGGAUGGAAUUCCCGGUGUAGAGGUGAAAUUCGUAGAUAUCGGGAGGAAUACCGGUGGCGAAGGCGAUCACCUGGCCAGAUACUGACGCUGAGGUGCGAAAGCGUGGGGAGCAAACAGGAUUAGAUACCCUUGUAGUC
rnacentral:rRNA from 1 species